UACGUAGGGGGCUAGCGUUGCUCGGAAUUACUGGGCGUAAAGCGCACGUAGGCGGAUUGUUAAGUCGGGGGUGAAAUCCUGGAGCUCAACUCCAGAACUGCCUUCGAAACUGGCGAUCUUGAGUUCGGGAGAGGUGAGUGGAACUGCGAGUGUAGAGGUGAAAUUCGUAGAUAUUCGCAAGAACACCAGUGGCGAAGGCGGCUCACUGGCCCGAUACUGACGCUGAGGUGCGAAAGCGUGGGGAGCAAACAGG
rnacentral:rRNA from 1 species